AUUGAACGCUGGCGGCAGGCCUAACACAUGCAAGUCGAACGAGUGGCGGACGGGUGAGUAAUGUCUGGGAAACUGCCUGAUGGAGGGGGAUAACUACUGGAAACGGUAGCUAAUACCGCAUAACAUCAGAUGUGCCCAGAUGGGAUGAGCUAGUUGGUGGGGUAACGGCUCACCAAGGCGACGAUCCCUAGCUGGUCUGAGAAGAUGACAAGCCACACUGGAACUGAGACACGGGCCAGACUCCUACGGGAGGCAGCAGUGGGGAAUAUUGCACAACGGGAGCAAGCCUGAUGAAGCCAUGCCGCGUGUAUGAAGAAGGCCUUCGGGUUGUAAAGUACUUGCUGUGAGGAGGCGUUACCCGCAGAAGAAGCACCGGCUAACUCCGUGCCAGCAGGCGCGGUAAUAC
rnacentral:rRNA from 1 species